rnacentral:rRNA from 1 species
CAGUAGCCGCGGGAAUACAGAGGGUGCAAGCGUUAAUCGGAAUUACUGGGCGUAAAGCGCGCGUAGGUGGUUUGUUAAGUUGGAUGUGAAAUCCCCGGGCUCAACCUGGGAACUGCAUCCAAAACUGGCAAGCUAGAGUAUGGUAGAGGGUGGUGGAAUUUCCUGUGUAGCGGUGAAAUGCGUAGAUAUAGGAAGGAACACCAGUGGCGAAGGCGACCACCUGGACUGAUACUGACACUGAGGUGCGAAAGCGUGGGGAGCAAACAGGAUUAGAGACCCCGGUAGUCCCUGUCUCUUAUAC